rnacentral:rRNA from 1 species
GGUGGAACGCGUGGACGGCGUGCCUAAUACAUGCAAGUCGAACGAAGCACAUUAGCGCUUAGUGGCGAACGGGUGAGUAAAAGAUAAGUAACCUGCCCUUGACAGGGGGAUAACGAUCGGAAACGAACGCUAAGACCGCAUAGGUAAUAAAACUGCAUGGUUUUAUUAUUAAGUAUCCUACGGGAUAGGUGAAGGAUGGACUUAUCACGCAUUAGCUAGUUGGAGAGGUAACGGCUCCCCAAGGCGACGAUGCGUAGCCGGCCUGAGAGGGCGGACGGCCACACUGGGACUGAGACACGGCCCAG